rnacentral:rRNA from 1 species
GAUGAACGCUGGCGGCGUGCCUAAUACAUGCAAGUCGAGCGAACAGAUCAGGAGCUUGUUGCUCUGUCGUUAGCGGAGGACGGGUGAGUAACGUGUGGAUAAUCUACAUAUCAUACUGGUAUAACUUCGGGAAACGGGAGCUAAUCCCGGAUAAUCUAUUGAACCGCAUGGUUCAAUAGUGAAAGACGGUUUUGCUGUCACUUCUAGAUGGAUCCGGGCCGCAUUAGCUAGUUGGGAAGGUAACGGCUUUUCACGGCAACGAGGCGUAGCCGAACUGAGGGAGUGAUCGGCCACACUAGAACGUAGACACCGACCAUGCUCCUACGGGAGGGAGCAGUAUGCAACGGUACGCAAUAGUCGAGAGCCUGACGCAACAGCGGCGCGCGAGUGACGAAGAUCCUCGGAUCGGAAAACUCGGCUACUAGUGAAAAACAAAUUUGUAAGUAACUAAACCGGGCUUGACGGUACCGAAUCAAAAAGCCACGGCUAACUACGUG